ensembl:lncRNA
CACCAGUUGGGGUGCCUUCACUGCAGUCUGUCCUUUGAGGAGCUUUCACUGUGAACGAUCCUGCUCAUCUUCAUCUGUACUCUGCAGGGCCAUCUCAGCUCUCCAUUGAUCUGAUAUCUCAGGACUUUCCCCUUUUCAGAAGUGCCUUUGCCUGGGGAUGGUGGAAGUUAAGAUCUAUCGUGCUUUAUUGUUUUUUGUUUUCCACUUUCCUUCUUUGGCUCCUAAUGGUGGUUCUUAAUUUGGGUGACAAACCCAUUGCUGCAUCCUUGGGGUGCAGGCCUCAGUGGAGGGGUGCUGUUGUUGCCUAUACUUGGUUAAUAGGGUGAAAAUGAAGCUGGAAGGACACCUAGUGGCAAACUGCACCGUGUCCUCGUCCUGAUGGAGUUGUAGGGGGUCGAGGAAAUGUAUGUUUGUCUUUUGGAACUUAGCACUACUGUGUAAAGCAGUCCUAUUGCUCUGCCCUGGAAGCUUCCCUGCUCUCUUGGGGAGAUGGAUACGGCCUCAGAGAACGCUGCGGGUCGACUGCUGGGUAUUGUGGAGGGAAAUGAAUGUGAAAAGACCUCUCAGAUCCCCAUGUCCACCCCCACCGUGCCCACUGCCCAUGUCCCUCAGUGCCACAUCCCCACAGCUCUGGGACACCCCCGGGGACGGUGACUCCCCCACCUCCCUGUGCAGCUGUGCCACUGCAUCACCGCUCUUCCUGAGCAGAAUUCGUUCCUGACGUCCAACCCGAUAUUUGGUCCUCCUUUAGUUCAGAUAUUUCCUGCUCUGCUAAUUUAAGUUUUCUCAUGCCCUGCUCUGUUUCUCAGCCCUGUUUUCCAGCAGAGCCGUAGCGUUAGCCUGGGGAGCACGAGUUGUGGCCAGCUGGGCUAUGGGGCAGCAUCUCUGGGUUGAGCUCCCUGCGAGCUGUGGUGAGCCGUGCAGCGAUGCAGCAGCCAACAGGCGGUGCUUUGCAGGCAGGAGAGCGCUCCCAUUGACAUCCCUGCUGCGUGGGGCCAACGUUGGCUUUCACCUUGGGUUAUGCCAGUUGUCUGUGGGCAGAGUAAAGCAGAGGCUGGCUCUUUGGAGGUGGCACUGAAGGAUUCCCAAAGCGUUC